rnacentral:lncRNA from 1 species
UGCAGAUAAAAGUUAUACACAUAAAAACAUGUAUUUUUAAGAGCUAGGUGUGGUGGCACACAUUUCUAAUCUCAGCAUUGGAAAGACGGAGAUGAAGAAACCCUUAGAGCUUUCUGGCCAGCCAGCCUAGCCUAAGUGGCCAGUGAGGGAUCUUAUUUUAGAAAGAAAGAAAGAAAGAAAGAAAGAAAGAAAGAAAGAAAGAAAGAAAGAAAGAAAGGAAGGAAGGAAGGAAGGAAGGAAGGAAGGAAGGAAGGAAGAAAGAAAGAAAGAAAGAAAGAAAGAAAGAAAGAAAGAAAGAAAGAAAGAAAGGAGGGAAGGAAGGAAGGAAGGAAAGAAAGAAACAAAGAAAGAAGGAAAAGCACCAGAGGAACAACACUCAAGAUUGACUUCCGGCCUCCACACAUAUACCUACCCACAUACAUGUGUACCUGCAUGCCUAUGAAUACACACAGAGAGAAAUAAAUAAAAAAUAGAAUGGAAUAGAGUAGAAGAGAGAGCUACGAAUCAUAAAGCCUGACAUUGUGAUAAACUGACAAGUUUAGAGGCUGGAGAGAUGGCUCAGUGGCUAAGAGCACAUCCUGCUCUUGCAGAGGACCCAGGCCCUAUACCCAGCACCCGCAUGGGUGCUCGCAAACACCCAUGUAAGUCUAGCCUCAAGGGAUCCAACACCAUCUUCUGACCUCCAAGGACACCUGGCAUGUGGUACACAAACAUACA